GUUUGUUUAAAAAUAUUAAAGUCAUGAAUGAAAUAGUAAAAAAUAUAUGAGAAGCCAAGGUGGAAGCAUGCCAGGUGUUCUGGAAGUGGAAAGUGGAUUCACGAACCGAGCCUGAAACUCCGAUGUGAACAAACAUUUUAAACUAUUGAACAAGGCGUCUUUUUGGAAUAUUGACAAUUCCACCCGCAUGGUCGAAAAAUAGGUGGAAAAUUAAGCUGGCCAGGCAGAAUCAGCCAUUGCUCAUAGCACAUUUAUAAAUUGAUAUCAGUUGAGUUGGCUUUUCGACCGUCAAAUGCACAACUGCAACAAAUGCCAUUAAAA